CUGCGACAAUAUGGUAGCCAUCUGCCAUAGAGCACCACUGACUUGCCUGCAGUCUGUGCUAACGGUGUAUGUACGAUGAAUGGCCGGGGAGAUGGACGACACAACGGUAGGAAUCGUCCACGCUGGUACAUUAUACCAAGAGGAGAUUUGCCACCAGCUAAUCAGUUUAGCAAUUUUGACAUUGCUCUGUUGGAUACUUUUGUGCAAAUUGGAGGAAAUGAAGAGGAGGUCAGGGAACUGAUGAUGUUUCUGCAGAACCAAAACCAAAUGAGACUAAUACAGCAACUGAAUCGUCUGCAACUUUAGCAAAGAUAAAGAAUGACCAAAGAUGUUAAAGAGAGACUUUCCCUCACGUUUGUUGGCCUGGUGGUUUGAUGACUUUUAUAUAUAGUUUGGAGAAAUACAAUAAUAUUUGCUAAACACUAAAGGUAAUGAUUGCAGCUGGGCAGGAGUGGGAUUAGAAAUUAAAGAGAACUGAUUAAAAUAACUAAAUUCCCAUCCUGCUAAGAGAUCCAGCAACAGAGAUUAAUCCUGAAAUAAAGUUAGGAUCAAACUAAAAGUGUGAAAAACGUUUUAUCCAAAUCUUUUGGAGGAAGUUCUUCACAUCAUUGUUUCAAUUUUAUUAUAUUUCAAUUAUCAUUAUUUCUUUGCCGCUGUUGAGCUGUGUUGUUUUAUUGAUCAGUUUUUUCGGCCGUCACAUUUACAAUUUCAAAAUAAGACCAACAUGGAAGGUCUUCCAAUGCAAAAAAACAAACAAAAAUAAACAGACAAAAAUGGA